rnacentral:lncRNA from 1 species
UCAGGGAUAGUCUCAAACCUGAAAUCAUCGAACCCUUUAACUGACUCUGGCCCUUUCGAUCGGAUCAAACGUUUGUGAUUAAAUUCAGUGUUGACCAAGGUUAUAUGGAACCCUUUUGCGUGCAAAAGCUUGGCAAGUCUCAUUAAUGGGGUAACAUGGCCUUGAGCUGGAAAUGGAACCAAGACUGCAUGGGGUUUUUCUGUGGUUUCUACAGAAUCCAUUUCCUGCGCUGCGUAGAUGAAAGUUAAUAGACGGGAGCAGAAUGUACUAGUCCCAAAAUGAUGGUGCCAUUUAUAGCAGCAUAGGGGGCAGAAAUUGAUUUUUCUUUUUUUUUUUGAGGCACAAAGAUAUACAAAAUCAUAUGUUGUAUGUAAUAUGCACCAUUUCUUUAUCACAAUGAACCAGAUGCACAAAGCGACAAAAUAUAAAUAGAAAACAUCCUUUCAUAGGUCCCAUGCAUCCCAUUGAAUCAAGUAAUCAUACAUUUUUAAAAGGGUUAAUUACCCCUUGAAUGUAGGAAUUAUUUGUAUGUUUUCCUUGAAUAAAAAACGAUAGGCACCACUUGUUACCUUUUGAAAAGGAUUCCUUCAAAUAAUUCUUUUCAAUGGAAUAGCUGAAAGGACAAAAUACCCCUUCAUAAUUUCAUUUUGCACCCUUUAAUUAUACUUUAUUUUUUACUUUGAUCCAUGAACUUUAGUUUGAAACACGUUGCUCUUAAAUUCUUAAUCUCAUCUCAUUUUAAUCCAAUAAACAAUGGAACAGGCAAAAACUAAUGGAUCAGUUACUACUGUCAAUUACCUUACGAAUAAAAUUAGAAUAUUUUGUUAAUGAAGGGUGGCAACUAUUUCGGCAGUUUUGUAUAUUUUGUUAACGAUUGGACUAAAUUAGGACAAGUUUAAAACUUUAGGGACCAAAAUAUACUAAACUUUAGUUCAUGGAUCAAAGUGAGAAUUUUUGUAUAUUUCAAGGGAAUAAAGAUGCAAUCAGCCUUAAGUUUUCCUAACUAAUAUACCACUUUGACAACAAAAUCUAUUUCAUUGUUUCUGUUGGAACCCAUGGUUAGACUGGAAAUGCUGCAUCUGCGCCUUGUGAUUUUUGAAAAGAAAAAUCAUACAGAAAUUUAAAGGUUAUAGUGUACGAAAGUGAAAAAAAAAUUAAUCCUAAGCAUAUUUGUUUCAUUUGAAAUAUAACUUGAAUUUGCUUGUAUAUUUUAACCUAUUACUAAUUCCUUCAGUCCGUACUUGAAACUCAAACUUGAAGCUGAUUCAUUGCCAUUUUUCUAGAUGUCCAUGUUGCAAUUAAUGCAACAAGGUUACAUUAAAUUAGUAUGUGCAGUAAGAUUCAUUGCAGCUUUCCACAAUUUAGUAUCUUUUUUAUUUUCCACUAGUAUAUGAACUUGUAGGACGUACCCUUAAAUCAGAUUGCCUCUUUGUUUAAAAAAAAAAAAAAAAGGAGAGAGAGAGAUAAGAGAUUGCCUCCGUCUCUGUGAAGUUGAAGACAAAGCCACAAUCAGGGCUGUCAAAAAUUUAAUAACAUGGCAUAUUCACAUUGAAGAUUUGCGGCUGAGGUGCCAAACUAAGCGUGGCAUUUCACAAGGAUUGUUGCCAGUUGAAAUCAUGACGUUAGUUCAAAUCUUGACCUGUCAACUUUUUUACGUGUCUUCCUUUGCUAAUAGAAAAAACUUAACAAGACGUAGAUGAAUUGAAAUGAAUUCUAUGAUAGAGAUGGUUCCCAAGCAGACAAGUAAUUGAUAAUUUACUUGACCUGUCAACUUUUUUACGUGUCUUCCUUUGCUAAUAGAAAAAACUUAACAAGACGUAGAUGAAUUGAAAUGAAUUCUAUGAUAGAGAUGGUUCCCAAACAGACAAGUAAUUGAUAAUUUAAGCAAUUACUAUUCAGGUUCUUUUCAUUGUUCCACUCACAUUAAUUCUCAAGAUUCCACUCAAUCAAAUAGGCACAUACUCGCAGGUUAUCCUAAUCAUAUUGAUUAGGAUUAUACAUUAUGUCCUGUUAUUAGUUGUGUCAAAUUCGAGAUAAUAGAUAUUUUAUCUAAGACAAAAAAAAAAAGAAGAAAGUGAUGCUUUAUGAACUUUCUAAUUGCAUUGUUCUUUUUAUUCCAAGGCAUGCAAGCAACUCCAACCAUAGAGCUUAGAUAAUUCAAAACAAAAAUGACUAAUAUAAUCCAUUUUUCUUUUAAGCCACAGGAGAAACAUUUUGUGCGGCGCAUCCGUUGUAAUGAAGAGCCUCAAUGAUAAACUUGUCAAAGUUAAUGUAAGAUGACCCCCCAACUUCAGUAGCUUCCUCAGCUUUCUUCUUCCAUUCUUUAGCCUUAAACCUCAUUUCCCCCCCUUCCUCUCCUAUAAUCAUUUUGCGUACAAGUUCUGCAACUUCGUUCCGCUUCACAUCAUGAUUUAUUUCCAUCCCAAUUCCCCAUUUCUUGCAAGAGUAAUGACAGUUAGUCUGCUGAUCGGCGAAGAAAGGCCAGCAGAUGAGAGGCACACCAGCAGAAAUACUUUCUAAUGUAGAAUUCCAUCCACAGUGAGUCAAAAAUGCUCCAACACUUUGUCCUGUGCACACCAGCUCGUUAACAACCCUCUGUCCUGAAUCUCUUCCAGGAAAUCUUCAGGCAACAUUGCUGAUUCUCCUCCCUGAACGACAUCAGGCCGAACAAUCCACAAAAACUGUUGCUGGCUAUUUGCAAGUCCCCAAGCAAAUUCUUUGAAGUGAUGGUCAGUCAUGGUUGUUAUACUUCCAUAAUUAACAUAAAAAACUGAGUUUGGUGCUCUUUGAUCUAGCCACUCGAAAACUUUCGAGUCAGGCUUCCAUAAACUUGAAUUCAGGGAAUUGACUUGGCUUUCGGUAACAAUGUGCCUGGCUAAUAUAUGUAGAGGGCCUAUUGUGUAAAUAUUUGGGAAAUCAAACUUGGAAAUGACUGCUUCUAAAGCUUCCCUUUCAAGUUCAUCGAAGGUAUUGAAGAUUAUCGCUGGAGCUUUUAGACAACUCUGUGCCGCCUCUCCAAGGAAAUCAAACAUAAUAUCGUUGGGAUCAGUUGUUCUGAAAAAGCUUGGAAGGUCCCUGAAUUUUAUGUUGCUCAUGCCACAAAUCCAAUCAACUGGCUUAUCAAGAGUACCAUCUGUGAGGUAAUCGUCAUCUGGACAAAGAGAAAAAAAGGGUCUUUCAAGUUCGAUGAAUAAUUAUAUCAAGACUAACAAGGAAGGAACUUCAUAAUUUGGACAUGUGAAUCCAAUUUUUAAUUUUUUUUUAAGUUUCAAUAACUACUAAUAGAGUAAUAACAGAAAUAACAGUUAUAUCAGAAAAAAGAUUGUAAUCGUUUCUUACAUAUAUACCUACAUACAUACAUAUACUACUCCAUUAGUAGCCAUUGGAACUGAAGAAAAAAAUAGUGUUAUAUAACUUUAUAAAGGAUACAUAGCUAGGAAGCCAUUUAGAAGGUAAGACAGGAAGUGGAAUAGAAUAUUCUCAUUACAUAUUUGAAGCCAAUAAAUGGGUAUAAAACCAAUCGCUUCGGGGUGAACACUCGGUCUGGACGGCCAAAACGUCGGAAAUGGUCCAGCAAUAACGUGGGAAGUGGUCCAGAUACAUGUCGAUUUCAUAUUUUAAGCAGGUAUGCAUGUUUCAUCAUUCUCAUGAUCAAGAAAUUACAAGCUAUAAACGAGAUGAUUAAAAAACAGGUUUAAUCAUACCAAUUAAGUUGAGAUUGAACGUUAAAGACAAUAACAAUACAGUCCAGAGACAACAGAACAAACAAAGAAGAAGUUUAUAGUAUGUACUUUUGAAUGGAAAAAUUCCUCUCCUGAUAAGCUCUCUAUAGUGCAAGUAUCCAAUGAAAGAACAAGCAGAAGCCGUCCAAAAUUGAACUUCAGGGAUGCCCAAAUCUUCAGCAGCUUUGAUAGCGAAGCUCAUGAUACCAUCAGAAAUGACGCAGCUAACAGGAGGCACUUCAGAAGACGAGUUCAGCUUAAUCAACAGCUCCUUAAAAGGAACCAAACAAUUUUUUCUGACAGAAUCACAGAGCUGAGGCACCUCUUGAGUGGCAUCUUUAUCUGACGGUGGCAUCCCAUCAGGGAUAGUCUCAAACCUGAAAUCAUCGAACCCUUUAACUGACUCUGGCCCUUUCGAUCGGAUCAAACGUUUGUGGUUAAAUUCAGUGUUGAGCAAGGUUAUAUGGAACCCUUUUGCAUGCAAAAGCUUAGCAAGUCUCAUCAAUGGGGUAACAUGGCCUUGAGCUGGAAAUGGAAGCAAGACCGCAUGAGGUUUUU